rnacentral:lncRNA from 1 species
GGGUCACCCAACAAUCGGUCCUUGUUUACGGAUCCGCAUUUAUGAAGUGAAAGUCCUCAGGAGCCGCAGUUGCUCCCGAGGUUGGUUGCCAUGGGCAAUCGUCAUGGCCGAAAGUCAUGACCUCCCUGUUCUGCAGCUAGUAACUAAUUGAAACGAUACAAAUUACCGCGAUUCUCCGUCUGCCAAUUUAGAGGCUGGUUCUGGUCAAGGGUCAGUGAAAGCCUAUUCAUGAAGCCAUGUUUGAAGUUGCUGCUGCCAGAGCAAGGGGGCGGGCUUGGGCACGGCGUCUCCUCUGGGCUUGGCCACAUACCGUGGAGGGAGUAUGGCAGCCCAGAGCCAAACAAUGGCGGCCGCUCGUCUACCUGGAGCCCAGGCACCCGAAGCACAGAGCCGUCAGUUGGUUUGUGCUGCUCGUCGACAGCCCCAGACAUGGUUUACUGGACAGAAAUAAAUGUUGUAUUCGGAGGGGCACUUUGGGAAUCGGCAAGGCUGAACCAGCCCUUUUCGCCAGCCUGCGGAAGGCUCUCCCUAGAGGGUACCACCCAGCAGCAGCCGCCUGCCCCAGAAGGAGGCUUCUUCCAAUUAUGAAUUACAACAAAGCUCCAUCUCUCCUAAGCUCCCUCCGCUUGGGCCCCGAACAUGCAAGCACACAUCCAUGGGCACACAGGGGCACUGACACACACACCCAUGGACACACAGGGGCACCGACACACACACCCAUGGACACACAGGGGCACCGACACACACACCCAUGGACACACAGGGGCACUGACACACACACCCAUGGGCACACAGGGACACCGACACACACACCCAUGGACACACAGGGGCACCAACACACACACCCAUGGGCACACAGGGACACCGACACACACACCCAUGGACACACAGGGGGACAGGCGCACACUUCCAUGGGCACACAGGGGCACCGAAGAACUUCUCUUAAUUAUGACAGACCAGAGAGCUGGGAAGGGACAGGCUCUUUUCAAAGUGCUCUCAGG